rnacentral:misc_RNA from 1 species
UCUCCGUUGGUGAACCAGCGGAGGGAUCAUUAUCGAGUUUAUAACUCCCAAACCCUAUGUGAACUUACCACUUGUUGCUUCGGCGCGCGCUUCGGUGCCGCCGAGGACACUUAAACUCUUUGUUUUUAUAAGCAUUUCUGAGUAGCCGAAAGGCAAAAUACAAAUGAAUCAAAACUUUCAACAACGGAUCUCUUGGUUCUG